UUUAUGCGAUACUUGGUGUGAAUUGCAGAAUCCCGUGAACCAUCGAGUCUUUGAACGCAAGUUGCGCCCGAUGCCAUUAGGUUGAGGGCACGUCUGCCUGGGUGUCACAUAUCGAAGCCUCCUGCCAAUUUCCCUUUGAUUAUUGUGCAGGGUGGAUGUUGGCCUCCCGUGAGCUCUUUCGUCUCAUGGUUGGUUGAAAAUUGAGACCUUGGUAGGGUGUGCCAUGAUAGAUGGUGGUUGUGUGAUCCACGAGACCAAUCAUGUGCUGCUCUAUUAAAUAUGGCCUCUUUUACCCAUAUGCGUUUCUAAACGCUCGUGAUGAGACCUCAGGUCAGGCGGGGCUACCCGCUGAAUUUAAGCAUAUCAAUAAGCGGAGGAAAAGAAACUAACAAGGAUUCCCUUAGUAACGGCGAGCGAACCGGGAUAAGCCCACCAUGAGAAUCGGUCGCCCUCGGCGUUCGAAUUGUAGUCUGGGGAAGCGUCAA
rnacentral:rRNA from 1 species